rnacentral:rRNA from 1 species
AGAACGAACGCUGGCGGCAGGCCUCAAACAUGCAAGUCUAGGGGGUGUAGCAAUACAUCACCGGCGGACGGGUGCGUAACGCGUGGGAAUGUACCUAUUGGUUCGGAACAACUGAGGGAAACUUCAGCUAAUACCGGAUGAGCCCGAAAGGGGAAAGAUUUCUCGCCAAUAGAUCAGCCCGCGUCCGAUUAGCUAGUUGGUGGGGUUAAAGCCUACCAAGGCGACGAUCGGUAGCUGUUCUGAGAGGACGAUCAGCCACACUGGGACUGAGACACGGCCCAGACUCCUACGGGAGGCAGCAGUGGGGAAUCUUGCGCAAUGCGCGAAAGCGUGACGCAGCAACGCCGCGUGGGGGAAGAAGGCUUUCGGGUUGUAAACCCCUUUCAGUUGGACGAAGCUUCUUCGGUGAAUAGCCGAACGGAGUGACGGUACCUUCACAAGAAGCACCGGCUAACUACGUGCCAGCAGCCGC